GCCAUACUAGGGAUUAGAGUUGGUCUUUUCAAAAGAUUUGAACAUCAGAAGCUAAAAUCGGCAAGUUCAGAUUUUUGGCUAUGGUUUUGGUGCAAAUUUUGAGUCAUUUGGAGUUUUUAUGAAAGAAAUAUAGGCUCUCGAAGUCAAGGUGUUGAUUUUGUAUCUAUUGUCAUUCUUUUGGAUAUAAUGCAUGCGUACAGAAAGCAAUUAAGGAUCAGCAAUUAGAGUUGGAGAGAGCACUUUCUUAGCAAAAUUUAAUGCAUAUUGCUUGAUGAAUUCUAAGCUAGGAUGAAGGAGAUGUUAGAAGUUGAAGUCAAUGCUUGGAAUCUAAAGAGUAAUAAGUGAUCCAAAUUACUAGUGGUUGUAUUUUGAACUAUAUCAUGUGCAUUUUGACAAGAUUUAGGCUAAAAUUUUCUAAUAAUAUAUACUUUUAUGUUACUAAAUUUUAUACAUAAGUUUUGUAGCAUUUAGAUUUUAGAUUUGUAAAAUAUAAAGAAAAUAGUACUCGAGUGCUUGUGAAUUAGGAUUUUAGAGCAUCUGCUAGGGAUUUUAAGAUGCUAGAUAAUUCAUAGAAAAUUUAUAAUUGAAUUUUUUUGAAGUAAAUUUUAAGAAUAAAUUCUAUAAUAUUUGUGAAUUUGAAAAAAAUUGAAUGUUUGGAUGAAGAGAUAUGAAUUUUUGAAAUUUGGAAAGAAGAAAACUUUUGUAAGAAUAUUAUGUUUUGAAAGGAUUUUAUAA
rnacentral:lncRNA from 1 species